ensembl:lncRNA
GUUAUAACAGUAGUCUAGUGUGAGGUGUUGUAACAGUAGUCUAGUGUGAGGGGUUAUAACAGUAGUCUAGUGGGAGGGGUUAUAACAGUAGUCUAGUGGGAGGGGUUAUAUCAGUAGUCUAGUGGGAGGGGUUAUAACAGUAGUCUAGGGGUUAUACCAGUAGUCUAGUGGGAGGGGUUAUAACAGUAGUCUAAUGUGAGGGGUUAUAACAGUAGUCUAGUGGGAGGGGUUAUAACAGUAGUCUAGGGGUUAUACCAGUAGUCUAGUGGGAGGGGUUAUAACAGUAGUCUAAUGUGAGGGGUUAUAACAGUAGUCUAGUGGGAGGGGUUAUAACAGUAGUCUAGGGGUUAUACCAGUAGUCUAGUGGGAGGGGUAAUAACAGUAGUCUAGGGGUUAUACCAGUAGUCUAAUGUGAGGGUUAUAACAGUAGUCUAGUGGGAGGGGUUAUAACAGUAGUCUA